rnacentral:rRNA from 1 species
CCUACGGGAGACAGCAGUGAGGAAUAUUGGUCAAUGGGCGCGAGCCUGAACCAGCCAAGUAGCGUGAAGGAUGACUGCCCUACGGGUUGUAAACUUCUUUUAUAAAGGAAUAAAGUGAGGCACGUGUGCCUUUUUGUAUGUACCUUAUGAAUAAGGAUCGGCUAACUCCGUGCCAGCAGCCGCGGUAAUACGGAGGAUCCGAGCGUUAUCCGGAUUUAGUGGGUUUAAAGGGGACGUAGAUGGGUUGUUAAGUCAGCUGUGAAAGUUUGCGGCUCAACCGUAAAAUUGCAAUUGAUACUGGCAGCCUUGAGUACGGGUGAGGUAGGCGGAAUGCGUGGUGUAGCGGUGAAAUGCUUAGAUAUCACGAAGAACUCCGAUUGCGAAGGCAGCUUACUAAACUGCAACUGACGUUGAUGCUCGAAAGUGUGGGUAUCAAACAGGAUUAGAUACCCGAGUAGUC